rnacentral:rRNA from 1 species
GACGAACGCUGGCGGCGCGCUUAACACAUGCAAGUCGAGCGAGAACCAGUCCUUCGGACGUGGGACGAGCGGCGAACGGGUGAGUAACACGUGAGUAAUCAACCCUUGGUACCGGGAUAGCCCGAGGAAACUCGGAUUAAUACCGGAUGGCCCAACAGCUUUACGGAGCGGUUGGAAAAGGUAGCUUCGGCCUCCGACCAAGGACGAGCUCGCGGCGGAUUAGCUUGUUGGUGGGGUAACGGCCUACCAAGGCGAUGAUCGGUAGCUGGGCUGAGAGGCCGAGCAGCCACACUGGGACUGAGACACGGCCCAGACUCCUACGGGAGGCAGCAGUAAGGAAUAUUGGUCAAUGGACGCAAGUCUGAACCAGCCAUGCCGCGU